GCCCGAGUGGCUGAGCGGUUCAAGGCGCUAUAGUCUGGAACCGCGCGAUACGUACGGUCGCAGGUUCGAAUCCUGCCUCGGGCA